rnacentral:rRNA from 1 species
CCUACGGGGGGCUGCAGUGGGGAAUAUUGGACAAUGGGGGCAACCCUGAUCCAGCCAUGCCGCGUGUGUGAAGAAGGCCCUCGGGUUGUAAAGCACUUUCAGUGAGGAAGAACGCCUGGUGGUUAAUACCCAUCAGGAAAGACAUCACUCACAGAAGAAGCACCGGCUAACUCCGUGCCAGCAGCCGCGGUAAUACGGAGGGUGCGAGCGUUAAUCGGAAUUACUGGGCGUAAAGCGCGCGUAGGUGGCUUGAUAAGCCGGUUGUGAAAGCCCCGGGCUCAACCUGGGAACGGCAUCCGGAACUGUCAAGCUAGAGUGCAGGAGAGGUAGGUAGAAUUCCCGGUGUAGCGGUGAAAUGCGUAGAGAUCGGGAGGAAUACCAGUGGCGAAGGCGGCCUUCUGGACUGACACUGACACUGAGGUGCGAAAGCGUGGGUAGCAAACAGGAUUAGAUACCCUUGUAGUC